GCCGGGGUGGUGAAACUGGUAGACACGCCGGAUUCAAAAUCCGGUUCCUUCACGGGAGUGCCGGUUCGAUUCCGGCCCUCGGUACCA
rnacentral:tRNA from 2 species